rnacentral:lncRNA from 1 species
UUAUAGAUAAGGAAAAUAAGGCAAACAAGGUUAAGUGACUUGACUAGAGUCACAUAACUAAGGUGAGAUUUGAACUCUGAAAGAUGGGACAUCUUGGCACAGGCACAGUACUCCACUGAGCAACAAACCACCCUGUUUCCAGGAACUUAUUGGUGACUCUUCCUUAGAAUAAAGAAAAAUGUUGUGUCAUAAAAAAAGAAAGUGAACCAAACCACUAUCAUAGAGGAAUGCAAGAAUGGAAGCAUCACUCACAACUGGGAGGAACCAAGGAAUAUUGACAACCAGAUGAUCUCAAGGCAUGAGAGAGGUACAAGAAUUUUGGAAGAUACCCACAGGGACCUGUGAUGCUAAGUGGUAUUAAAGUGGAUGUGGUAACAAGUAAAAUAUCAAGAAACUGUCAUAGGAUUUUCAUAAAACAAGCAUUUGAAGUAUGAAAUUUGAAAAUUAAUGAAGGCUGAAAUUAAUGAAAUGGAGAUGUCACUAUUUUAAUAGAUCAUAUUAUUAUAAAAUGUUUGUAAAAGGAGAGAUGUUAGACAUGAUUGAUUAAAUAAAAUUACUUGAAGCUAUGUGAUUGAUCUAUUU